rnacentral:rRNA from 1 species
UUGGAGGGCAGUCUGGUGCCAGCAGCCGCGGUAAUUCCAGCUCCAAUAGCGUAUAUUAAAGUUGUUGCUGUUAAAAAGCUCGUAGUUGAAUUUCGGGGUUCUACCGUUGGUCGGGCUUUGUCUGUACUGGUGUGUAGAAUUUCUACCUUCUGGGGAACCAUCAUGCUAUUAAUUUAGCGUGGUGGGAAACCAGGACCUUUACCUUGAAAAAAUUAGUGUGUUCAAAGCAGGCUUAUGUCUGAAUACAUUAGCGUGGAAUAAUAGAAUAGGACGGUGGUCCUGUUUUGUUGGUUUCUGAAUCACCGUAAUGAUUAAUAGGGAUAGUUGGGGGCAUUAGUAUUCAAUUGUCAGAGGUGAAAUUCUUGGAUUUAUUGAAGACUAACUUCUGCGAAAGCAUUUGCCAAGGAUGUUUUCAUUAAUCAAGAACGAAAGUUAGGGGAUCGAAGACGAUCAGAUACCGUCGUAGUCUUAACCAUAAACUAUGCCGACUAGGGAUCGGACGAUGUUAAUUUUUCUUGACUCGUUCGGCGCCUUACGGGAAAC